AACCAACCAACCCUCGGGCUAAGCCCUUUUAUAAACAGGGGCUGCUGUGAGCUGUUGUCCAACCACAUGGAGAGCACCAUAUUGACUACUCCUGACUUAGGAAGAAUCCCGUACCAGGUGCAGAGUCAAGCCCAGUUCUACCCUUGUCACUCUUGCUAUGGACAUAGUGAACAUCCAGCAGACCAGAGGGAGACCAGCUCUCCAUUUCCUAUCAUUGCAAGAUGCCUCUUUUGUCUGAGCAAGCCUUCCUCUGAUGCAUGAAUGAGCCACCUGAACUUUCACCUCCUUCAGGUGGCUGGUGUCCACUGAGGCUGGUAAGACAGAAGAUAAUGAAGUCAACAGGAAGUGAAGCCAGAGUGAUUGAUAGGCAGAACCAAACAAUUCUGUUUCUUUCUCUCCAUACACCUGCUUAAUUGCAA